AGUCAGGUGACCUGCGCAGGCGUUAUCUGGGUUUCACGCGUGUACACAUUCAAAAUGGAGGGACUUCGCACGAUCUGAGGAGGAGUUUUUCAGUCCUCUGAUGGCACAAGGCCAUUUGUCAGACACCUGUGUGGGCCCAGUUUUAGCGCUGGUGGUUCCAACAAGCCUCAGCGGGCUCGCCGCUGCACCAGCGCUCACUCCAAGUUCCUGUAAAACAACCCAAGGACUAGAAGUUGAAGCCGGGAAGGUACCUGAAGCUGGAAGAUUCUGGUGACCAGGAUGAGAGUUGCUGGGAUACCCUGCUUGCUCCAGAGCCUGCAGACGAGAUACUGGGAAAACUGACAGUAGCCAGCAAAGGGUCCAGUCCUUUCCAAAUGCCAAUGGCUUCCAUCUGAGCACGUGGUUCAGGAGCAUCCCAGCCUAUGACAGCCCAGCAAGUAGUUGCAGGAACUCCUUUCAGGAAUCAAGGCCACUUAAUGUCUUGGGUUAGCUUUAAAUAGGCUCUGUAAUGGGGAACUCUCUGAGAGGAGAACAUGGGUAUGAGCUGAAAUCUAAGAAGCUGAACUGGGAUUCUGCAGUUGUUGUUGAUUGGCUCUUGGCCUCUUUGACCACUUUUCUGAAAGUGAAUAUAGUUCAAUUAAAAAAAAAAAUUGCCCAAACCCACCAUUUGACUUUUCCACCAAAAUAAAGGUGUAAACUUUUCCUCUCAUGAAAUGGUUUGGAACCCCCUUCUUAUUCAUUCUGCAUAUGUAUUCAAUAUAGACAUUCCUUUUAGA